CAAAGUAAAACUUCCGGGUCCAACCGCUCCGUCGAACAUAAAAACAAACCACAAUGGCUGAACCAGUGAAUCUUUUUACGAUUACUUCUUUCUUCAGUUAGUCACCUGAAAGAGUAAAGAAAGGAUUGAAUUCGUUUUACUCCAACAGAGUGGUCAGUGUAGCUGUUUCGCCUCGGGGAGUUAUCAAGGGUAGCGUCCGGUCCAGGCAUCACAGAAAAAUAAAGUUUACGAGGUUGAGGUUCAUGCUGAGGGACAGACAGUGAAGUACAGCAGCUGCCAGUGCCACCAUAUGGCGGUGUGCUUGGAAGAGGGCGAAGACACCGAGCACCGACCAGAUAGCAGCAAAGAGAGUGUCUGAGAUGACACCAUCCACAACACAAGCUGGAAUCAAAAGUCCUGUUACUCAGGAAGACAAAGACUGGGUGCAAGCAACCCUGUCCCAGCUUGGACAUUUAACGGGAUUGGAUGGAUUCCAAGAAACUCAGAAACUCCUCGGACUCUCCCUAUCAAGACAUUUGAGGGGCUAGUGACCAACCCCGACUACGCUGAAGCUGAGGACAAGGCUCUUCAUUUGCUGUCAUCAUUUGUGGUCACCAAUAGGGAGAAGCAGCAGAUCGAAAGAGCCACUGUUGGGCAAGCAAAGAAUGCAUUAUGGUCAGCAUAUCGGCAAAAAAGGAUCGCAGCAAGCAACUUUGGUUUGGUGUUGGCAGCAGUCAAGCGGAAGUCCUACCCUCCAUCCUUAUUUAAAACACUGCUUGGCCAGUACAACCUCAAACAAGGAUCGAAAGCAUGUGAUUGGGGAAUUCUCCAUGAGCCAAGAGCAAAGCAGCAGUAUAUGGAGAGCACUGGUGUCGUUAUCCAGGAGAGCGGUUUGUUCCUUUCGGACAAUGGUAUGCUUGGUGGAUCUCCAGAUGGGGCAGUGUCUGACAACUGCAUUGUGGAAGUGAAAUGUCCAUGGUCAGCCAGAACAAAGACUAUCCGACAGGCAGCAGAGAGUAGGGACUUUUAUCUUUACUUGGACGAAGUAACUGAUACCCUGACACUAAAACCGACACAACUAUUGGCAUCAAAUCCAGGGCAACCUACAUCUGACUGGAACUAGCAGCUGUCACCUAAUUGUAUGGACUCCUUUGGAUCUUGUCAUCCUUCCCAUCCUCAAAGACCCAUUAUGGGUUAUUAACAUCAACACUCUGGAGACAUUUUAUAAAGAGUGUUUCCUUCCAUAUGUUCUGUCAAGUCAACCAUCACAUAUAGAGCAAUGACGGGUUCAUUAAUGAUUUGUAGUUCUAAAUUUGUAUAGAGAUUAAUUAAUAAUUUGUAAAUAGUACGUACAUUUUAUCUACAUUUUCACUACUGAAGCUUAAUUUGAUGCUUAUGUACAGUUAUGAUAAAUUAAGUAACACAAUAUGUUUGACAAAUAAAAUGUUUAUUUAUACAAACGGUAAAAAAUGUAUACUGUAUUACUUUUGAUAUGUUUGAAGGGGAACACACUAGCAAAAAUCAAGAACAGGAGGAUUUUUUCAGUUGAGACAUUGAUAUAUUUAACUCAACCUAAAACAUUCAGUGCAGUAGCAGGGUUUGACACCCAUACAGCAUAGUCAUCCACAUUUUCUUUUUAACACAUUGACUCAUUCAAUUUCACGGAGAAUGGGUGUUUGCAGGUUAGUAAGACACACACAUAAUUUCAGUACCUUGUUGAUGUUUGGUCUGAACUGGUGUGGAAUGUGUCGCAAAAUGUUAAACAGUUUCAGUCUCUGGAUAGAACGCUCCACAUGUAUCCUUGCACAGGAGAUUAGCCUGCUAUUAAAAACAGUCUUACCCACUCCACAGUACACCCGAGGUAAAUCAAUUAUAACGACAGACUAUAAAUCUAAAUGUCUGUUUAAAGAAUAAUGUUAGAAAUAAAACCAACCUUGCAUAUAUUCCUGUACGUAGGCUACGGCAGCGGCGGACUGAUACCUAUUUACCUGCCGCUGUCAUUGCUACAAACGCAGAGUACAGUGAACGAAGGAAUUAUACAAGCGUAUUAAAUUAACAAGAUAUGGCCACGUUUGGAGGAGUUAGCGAUGCAUCUGCUUUUGAAGACGAUUAUGAGGAAUUUGUUGUAUCCAACGAACCGUACAUUUACGAGCCGGUGUUUUAAUGUCAAAGUCAGCAGCACGAAAUCCGACCUUAUUAAUAUUCCCCCCCCACGAUAGUAUGAGUUCGAAUCCCGUAAUGUAUCAUAUUUUAAGCAUUCGUUUUUCAUUUAUUUCGGCUUUAAACGGUCCUACGUGACAAGUUUCUUCCAAUUAUAGGCUACUCCAAAUACGAAUGAGAUGGGAAUGUUUUUGACAUUUUAUUGAAAGACAAAUCAAAGAGGCAUUCGCAAGGACAGCUACGUGUCUGGCCCGAUUUCCAACAGCUGUUAACACGGUCACGAGUUGAACUUAAUAAUAAUAACAGACUAAUGAACUCCUUUGUCCAUCGUGCCAUCACACUCCACAACUCCGCACUUGGAGGGAGGAAGGGGGGGGCAGCAGGAGGAGUACAGUGGAUAAAGGGAAAUAGAAAUAGGAUAGACUGAUCGAGCUUGCUGCUAACAUCUGCUGCUGCUUCUUCUUUUUAAAAUGUAGUUAUUUAUUUAGGCCUAUACAAUGUCUUGUUGCAUUUUAGCUUGUGUUUUUCUUGCUUGUUUAUGUGUCUUGUCUGUACUACCGCUGCUGGAAUUUUUUGAAUUUCCCUGAAGGAGCAUUCCCAAGGGAUCAAUAAAGUGUCUAUCUAUCUAUCUAUCUAUCACGACUAUACAAUGGGUGCCCGGUCAUUCAGCUGUUCAGCACCCAGGCUCUGGAACUCCCUCCCCCACACAUAACAGACACCAUUACAACCUUCAAGUCACAACUCAAAACCCACCUGUUCAAACUCGCACACAACAUCUAGCCUAACUGAUUUUUUUAGUCUUGUUUUUGUUUUAUUUAUUUAUUAUUCUUUUUUUCCAGAAUGUCUUGUUUUUAAACGAUUUACGAUGACUUAAUGCUCUGUAAGGUGACAUUGGGUGCCUUGAAAGGCACCUCUAAAUUAAAUGUAUUAUUAUUAUUAUUCUGUUUGAUUCCCGGGCAUACACUCUAAAAAAUGUGACCAUUGGUU